rnacentral:rRNA from 1 species
UUGCACGCUGGCGGCAGGCCUAACACAUGCAAGUCGAGCGGAUGAAGGGAGCUUGCUCCUGGAUUCAGCGGCGGACGGGUGAGUAAUGCCUAGGAAUCUGCCUGGUAGUGGGGGAUAACGUCCGGAAACGGGCGCUAAUACCGCAUACGUCCUGAGGGAGAAAGUGGGGGAUCUUCGGACCUCACGCUAUCAGAUGAGCCUAGGUCGGAUUAGCUAGUUGGGGGGGUAAAGGCCUACCAAGGCGACGAUCCGUAACUGGUCUGAGAGGAUGAUCAGUCACACUGGAACUGAGACACGGUCCAGACUCCUACGGGAGGCAGCAGUGGGGAAUAUUGGACAAUGGGCGAAAGCCUGAUCCAGCCAUGCCGCGUGUGUGAAGAAGGUCUUCGGAUUGUAAAGCACUUUAAGUUGGGAGGAAGGGCAGUAAGUUAAUACCUUGCUGUUUUGACGUUACCAACAGAAUAAGCACCGGCUAACUUCGUG